CCUACGGGAGGCAGCAGUAGGGAAUAUUGCACAAUGGGCGAAAGCCUGAUGCAGCAACGCCGCGUGCACGAUGAAGGCCUUCGGGUCGUAAAGUGCUUUUCGGGGAGAUGAGAGAGGACAGUAUCCCCGGAAUAAGGAUCGGCUAACUACGUGCCAGCAGCCGCGGUAAAACGUAGGAUCCGAGCGUUAUCCGAAUUUACUGGGCGUAAAGCGCGUGUAGGCGGCCUGGUAAGUCAGAUGUGAAAGCCCUCGGCUUAACCGGGGAAGGGCAUCUGAAACUGCCUGGCUUGAGUACGGGAGAGGGAGGCGGAAUUCCCAGUGUAGAGGUGAAAUUCGUAGAGAUUGGGAGGAACACCAGUGGCGAAAGCGGCCUCCUGGACCGAUACUGACGCUGAGACGCGAAAGCGUGGGUAGCAAACAGGAUUAGAUACCCUGGUAGUCCACGCGGUAAACGAUGGGCACUAGGUGUGGGGGGUAUCCACUCCUCCCGUGCCGCAGCUAACGCAUUAAGUGCCCCGCCUGGGGAGUACGGCCGCAAGGCUAAAACUCAAAGGAAUUGACGG
rnacentral:rRNA from 1 species